rnacentral:rRNA from 1 species
CGGAGGGUGCAAGCGUUAUCCGGAUUCACUGGGUUUAAAGGGUGCGUAGGCGGGCAGGUAAGUCAGUGGUGAAAUCUUUGGGCUUAACCCGAAAACUGCCAUUGAUACUAUCUGUCUUGAAUAUUGUGGAGGUUAGCGGAAUAUGUCAUGUAGCGGUGAAAUGCUUAGAUAUGACAUAGAACACCUAUUGCGAAGGCAGCUAACUACGCAUAUAUUGACGCUGAGGCACGAAAGCGUGGGGAUCAAACAGGAUUAGAUACCCUGGUAGUCCACGCCCUAAACGAUGGAUACUCGACAUACGCGAUACACUGUGUGUGUCUGAGCGAAAGCAUUAAGUAUCCCACCUGGGAAGUACGACCGCAAGGUUG